AAAGCCAUGCGAGUCAACAUAGCCAAUAUGUGGCAUACGGCUCAGUAACACGUAGUCAACAUGCCCAGGGGACGUGGAUAACCUCGGGAAACUGAGGAUAAACCGCGAUAAGUCACUACUUCUGGAAUGGGUAAUGACUCAAAUCUAUAUGGCCCCUGGAUUGGACUGCGGCCGAUCAGGCUGUUGGUGAGGUAAUGGCCCACCAAACCUGUAACCGGUACGGGCUCUGAGAGGAGGAGCCCGGAGAUGGGCACUGAGACAAGGGCCCAGGCCCUAUGGGGCGCAGCAGGCGCGAAACCUCUGCAAUAGGCGAAAGCUUGACAGGGUUACUCUGAGUGAUUUCCGUUAAGGAAAUCUUUUGGCACCUCUAAAAAUGGUGCAGAAUAAGGGGUGGGCAAGUCUGGUGUCAGCCGCCGCGGUAAUACCAGCACCCCGAGUGGUCGGGACGUUUAUUGGGCCUAAAGCAUCCGUAGCCGGUUCUACAAGUCUUCCGUUAAAUCCAACUGCUUAACAGGUGGGCUGCGGAAGAUACUAUAGAGCUAGGAGGCGGGAGAGGCAAGCGGUACUCGAUGGGUAGGGGUAAAAUCCGUUGAUCCAUUGAAGACCACCAGUGGCGAAGGCGGCUUGCCAGAACGCGCUCGACGGUGAGGGAUGAAAGCUGGGGGAGCAAACCGGAUUAGAUACCCGGGUAGUCCCAGCUGUAAACGAUGCAGACUCGGUGAUGAGUUGGCUAUAUGCCAACUCAGUGCCGCAGGGAAGCCGUUAAGUUUGCCGCCUGGGGAGUACGGUCGCAAGACUGAAACUUAAAGGAAUUGGCGGGGGAGCACCACAAAGGGUGAAACCUGCGGUUCAAUUGGAUCC
rnacentral:rRNA from 1 species